GGCGGGCUAGCGUAAUGGUUAACGCGCUAGUUUCCGGUGGUUUGGCUAGCUAGAGACUCUGGGUUCGAGUCCCAGGCUCGUCG